rnacentral:rRNA from 1 species
CUCAGAACGAACGCUGGCGGCGUGGAUAAGACAUGCAAGUCGAACGGGAGAAUUGCUAGCUUGCUAAUAAUUCUCUAGUGGCGCACGGGUGAGUAACACGUGAGUAACCUGCCUCUUAGUGGGGGAUAGCCCUGGGAAACCGGGAUUAAUACCGCAUACGAUUGAAAGAUCAAAGCAGCAAUGCGCUAGGAGAUGGGCUCGCGGCCUAUUAGUUAGUUGGUGAGGUAACGGCUCACCAAGGCGAUGACGGGUAGCCGGUCUGAGAGGAUGUCCGGCCACACUGGAACUGAGACACGGUCCAGACACCUACGGGUGGCAGCAGUCGAGAAUCAUUCACAAUGGGGGCAACCCUGAUGGUGCGACGCCGCGUGGGGGAAUGAAGGUCUUCGGAUUGUAAACCCCUGUCAUGUGGGAGCAAAUUAAAAAGAUAGUACCACAAGAGGAAGAGACGGCUAACUCUGUGCCAGCAGCCGCGGUAAUACAGAGGUCUCAAGCGUUGUUCGGAAUCACUGGGCGUAAAGCGUGCGUAGGCUGUUUCGUAAGUCGUGUGUGAAAGGCAGGGGCUCAACCCCUGGAUUGCACAUGAUACUGCGAGACUAGAGUAAUGGAGGGGGAACCGGAAUUCUCGGUGUAGCAGUGAAAUGCGUAGAUAUCGAGAGGAACACUCGUGGCGAAGGCGGGUUCCUGGACAUUAACUGACGCUGAGGCACGAAGGCCAGGGGAGCGAAAGGGAUUAGAUACCCCUGUAGUCCUGGCAGUAAACGGUGCACGCUUGGUGUGCGGGGAAUCGACCCCCUGCGUGCCGGAGCUAACGCGUUAAGCGUGCCGCCUGGGGAGUACGGUCGCAAGAUUAAAACUCAAAGAAAUUGACGGGGACCCGCACAAGCGGUGGAGUAUGUGGCUUAAUUCGAUGCAACGCGAAGAACCUUACCUGGGCUUGACAUGUAAUGAACAACAUGUGAAAGCAUGCGACUCUUCGGAGGCGUUACACAGGUGCUGCAUGGCCGUCGUCAGCUCGUGUCGUGAGAUGUUUGGUUAAGUCCAGCAACGAGCGCAACCCCUGUUGCCAGUUACCAGCACGUCAAGGUGGGGACUCUGGCGAGACUGCCCAGAUCAACUGGGAGGAAGGUGGGGACGACGUCAGGUCAGUAUGGCCCUUAUGCCCAGGGCUGCACACGUACUACAAUGCCCAGUACAGAGGGGGCCGAAGCCGCGAGGCGGAGGAAAUCCUGAAAACUGGGCCCAGUUCGGACUGUAGGCUGCAACCCGCCUACACGAAGCCGGAAUCGCUAGUAAUGGCGCAUCAGCUACGGCGCCGUGAAUACGUUCCCGGGUCUUGUACACACCGCCCGUCACAUCAUGGAAGCCGGUCGCACCCGAAGUAUCUGAAGCCAACCGCAAGGAGGCAGGGUCCUAAGGUGAGACUGGUAA